rnacentral:rRNA from 1 species
CCUACGGGCGGCAGCAGUGGGGAAUAUUGGACAAUGGGCGAAAGCCUGAUCCAGCCAUGCCGCGUGUGUGAAGAAGGCCUUCGGGUUGUAAAGCACUUUCAGUGGGGAAGAAAGCCUUGGGGCUAAUACCCUCGAGGAAGGACAUCACCCACAGAAGAAGCACCGGCUAACUCCGUGCCAGCAGCCGCGGUAAUACGGAGGGUGCGAGCGUUAAUCGGAAUUACUGGGCGUAAAGCGCGCGUAGGCGGUCUGAUAAGCCGGUUGUGAAAGCCCCGGGCUCAACCUGGGAACGGCAUCCGGAACUGUCAGGCUAGAGUGCAGGAGAGGAAGGUAGAAUUCCCGGUGUAGCGGUGAAAUGCGUAGAGAUCGGGAGGAAUACCAGUGGCGAAGGCGGCCUUCUGGACUGACACUGACGCUGAGGUACGAAAGCGUGGGUAGCAAACAGGAUUAGAUACCCCAGUAGUC